rnacentral:rRNA from 1 species
GAUGAACGCUGGCGGCGUGCCUAAUACAUGCAAGUCGAGCGAACAGACGAGGAGCUUGCUCCUCUGACGUUAGCGGCGGACGGGUGAGUAACACGUGGAUAACCUACCUAUAAGACUGGGAUAACUUCGGGAAACCGGAGCUAAUACCGGAUAACAUGUUGAACCGCAUGGUUCAACAGUGAAGGACGGUCUUGCUGUCGCUUAUAGAUGGAUCCGCGCCGCAUUAGCUAGUUGGUAAGGUAACGGCUUACCAAGGCAACGAUGCGUAGCCGACCUGAGAGGGUGAUCGGCCACACUGGAACUGAGACACGGUCCAGACUCCUACGGGAGGCAGCAGUAGGGAAUCUUCCGCAAUGGGCGAAAGCCUGACGGAGCAACGCCGCGUGAGUGAAGAAGGUCUUCGGAUCGUAAAACUCUGUUAUUAGGGAAGAACAAAUGUGUAAGUAACUAUGCACGUCUUGACGGUACCUAAUCAGAAAGCCACGGCUAACUACGUG